rnacentral:rRNA from 1 species
UGGGGAAUAUUGGACAAUGGGCGAAAGCCUGAUCCAGCCAUGCCGCGUGUGUGAAGAAGGUCUUCGGAUUGUAAAGCACUUUAAGUUGGGAGGAAGGGCAUUAACCUAAUACGUUAGUGUUUUGACGUUACCGACAGAAUAAGCACCGGCUAACUCUGUGCCAGCAGCCGCGGUAAUACAGAGGGUGCAAGCGUUAAUCGGAAUUACUGGGCGUAAAGCGCGCGUAGGUGGUUUGUUAAGUUGGAUGUGAAAUCCCCGGGCUCAACCUGGGAACUGCAUUCAAAACUGACUGACUAGAGUAUGGUAGAGGGUGGUGGAAUUUCCUGUGUAGCGGUGAAAUGCGUAGAUAUAGGAAGGAACACCAGUGGCGAAGGCGACCACCUGGACUAAUACUAACACUGAGGUGCGAAAGCGUGGGGAGCAAACA